rfam:Arthrobacter sp. Hiyo1 DNA, contig: contig01007.
GGGUCUGUGGCUCAACGGCACAGCAUCAGGCGUUCCGACUCACCAGGGUUCGACUCCCCAGGCACCAGUGGUAGGUGAGACCCGGGCGACAGGCGCGGCAGCACAGCGCGACGCACUGAAAACGCAGGUUCGAAUCCUGCCGGACCCA